AGACCGGGAGGGCCAAAAUGGACGUAGUGUCUGAAUACACUAUCUUUAUAGGCCUCCUAGUAC
rnacentral:pre_miRNA from 1 species